CAGCCGCCGCGGUAAUACGGAGGGUGCAAGCGUUAAUCGGAAUUACUGGGCGUAAAGCGCACGCAGGCGGUUUGUUAAGUCAGAUGUGAAAUCCCCGGGCUCAACCUGGGAACUGCAUUUGAAACUGGCAAGCUAGAGUCUCGUAGAGGGGGGUAGAAUUCCAGGUGUAGCGGUGAAAUGCGUAGAGAUCUGGAGGAAUACCGGUGGCGAAGGCGGCCCCCUGGACGAAGACUGACGCUCAGGUGCGAAAGCGUGGGGAGCAAACAGGAUUAGAUACCCACGUAGUCCCUGUCUCUUAUAA
rnacentral:rRNA from 1 species